AGCGCUCCGGGGACGCCUUUCACCCGUAAAACGACUGGCACUAAAAUUAACUGCAGAUAAUCAACCUGCAUUAGCUGCUGCGUAAGCAGUAGCCCGCUCAUCGCGUUCGCGCCUGCCGUUCGCGGUGGGUGUCAUAACUAUGCAGGCUAACCAUCUCCUCAAGCCUGUAGGGUGAUGGGACAUCUAACAGGCUAGCAUCCUGGUAUCCUGUCUGUCGGAGGUCAGGAUGCGAAGACAAAAGACAGACUACGAGCGUAGCGGUCAGGGGAUGAACCAUACAGCACGCGGGUUCGAUUCCCGCCACCUCCACCA
rnacentral:tmRNA from 1 species